UAUCAGUUAAGCGGAAUCUGCGAGCGGAGACGCCGUGCUGUCAAUGUGGAUUGAGUAGUAGUCGGUACCUGCACCGUUUAGUUAGUCUGCGUUGUCUGGCAAGCUGGUGAUUCAUAAUGGCAACGAUGAUCUGGAUUACGAAAUUGCUGUUCCUUGCCACUAUUGCGUUGGGAAUAGAAGAAUUAGCACCUGGCUUUGGGCCUGACUUAACCAUCGGUGGAACUUCAUCAGCCUAUACCGUGAAAGAUCCUGAAGGAAGAAAUCCUACCGAUGAAUCCACCGAGCGGAACCAGACACCGCCGAUCGAAACAAAUUUUCGCGGUGGACUUGAAAGGAUUAGAAGAGCCAACCGAAAUAAGACUCGGAUCGAACCAAGGGUUGCAUUCACUCUCAAGGGGCCUGCUCGUCGUCUAAGUCAGAUGAUCGUCAAUCCAAAGUGGGAGUAUACGAAGAACUGUGAACCAAUUUGUAAGGUAGCAGGGACCAUGUUCCCCCACCUGACAAAAUGCAACAUGUUUUAUAAGUGUUCUACUGACCUUGAAGUUGAACUAAUGAGCUGCCCGCCAGGAACACGUUACGCUCCUAUUUUUAAGUCCUGUGACAAUCCUGAGAGAACUUCCAACAAUUAUUGCAAACGGCAGGAUAGAUGCCCUUGAAGCCACUCCGGUUAGAUUUCUUUCCAGGCUAUGCAAGGAGCUGAGAGCGACAUUUGCAGACAAUUUAAUUAUUAACAAAACGGUGGCGAACUAAAUGUGGUUAGCCAUAGUUUGCACCGUUACCCACACUGCUCGAUACCCUCCAGGAGAAAAAGGAAUUUCAAGAGUUAGGCCAAUUUAUCACUGGAAAUGAUAAGGGAAAAUGUGAACUUUUUUAUUAAUGUCAAUUGUUUUUAUUAUAGUUUCGUCGACUUCUAUGAAAUGGAAAGCAGGAGAUUUGAUUUAGUCACCAUUGACGUUAGCCCUGACCUUACAGUCAAGAAUACCUCUGAUCGUGUGUAGUUUCGAGCAGAUUCGUGCAUCACACACAGACGAAAUGGACGUCUAUUCAAUGGAAGAAAUCGUCCAGUGAAUAUUUUUAAUUCUGAUAAUCUGCAAACUGUGAAAUGUCAACAGCAAAGCUGAAGUAGGAUCAUUGGCAUGACCCUUGAAUUCCAAAGGCGAAAGAUUACAGUAUCCGCAUUUUAGCAAUAAUGCCGUUGGUCACUCAGUACUUGAGUUUUAAAAGAUGAACUUUUAACGAAGUUCCUAAACUGAAAGAAUUUGUAGAAAAUCGUUUGUUUUAAUUCAGAUUCCUCGUAUAAAUUCAAUUUUAUGAUGGCAUGAGCAGCAUAUGCGCUUGGCGAGGAGCGAGCCUUACGUUGCUGCGGACUCACGAAUUGAUAGGCAUCCAGUAAAUGUCGAUAAAGCCGACGUCCGUAUAUUGCCGAACUGAGCAAGCUGAUGUGGCAUGAAAAUCUCGACAAGUUCAGUCUACAGUUCCUUUGUGAUGUGAACGGCAAUUAAAUGCCUUUGUUUGAUUAAAUUUUCCUUUUUGACGAUGCACUGCUGUAUUCUUUCAGUGUUGGAUGAAUGUAGAUUGUAGAUUGAAUGGAUAAUUGUUGGACGAUAGUAGAUUGAAUUAGGGAUAGAAAAUUCCUAAUUGGUUUUAUGGACGGCAGCUAGCUCAAUGGAUGUGUGAUGUCCUGUCAAUGAACGUGCCACUUGUCCAUGUAUCUCGUGUAUGGAAACCUCCAAACUCUGAGCUCACACUCGUACCAGUGCAGUUGUUGUGGCAGCGGGUUUGUCGCUUGUAAAUU
rnacentral:misc_RNA from 1 species